rnacentral:rRNA from 1 species
UCUGAAUCUGCGUACGGCUCCGCAAACCAGUUGUAAACUAUAGCAAGCAAGCUCAGGGCUGGCCUUCACUGGCCGGCUCGGGGCGAUAUGGAUAACCCUGGUAAUUCUGAGGCUAAUACAUGAGUGUAAACCUUGGAGGACCGGCUUCGGCUGGGAAUCUGGGGGAUGUGCGAUUGCAGGCUUGGUAACACCGGGAAAGGGCGCACGUUCAGAUCACGCUAAAAAGGUCGGGCUCCUUCGGGGGCCUGCCCCAGUGACUCUUGCUGUGUGCUUCUGACCUAUCAACUAGACGGCAGCGUAAGG